ensembl:lncRNA
CUGAUUGCAACAUUAACUUUUAACGGUUGUUAACAUACCAACCAGACUGUUGUGGAUACAGUAUGACUGAGUCAGAGGAAAGGACAUAAGCAAUGUUUUGUUCGGGAAACCAAAGAGCACAGUUUAAAACAUACCUCCUCGUUGAAUAAGUUUUGCAAAAUAACAUUUCUGAGUAUAGGAAGCAAGAUGCUGGUACCAGAAGUGAGAUGGCUGAAAUCCUUUCAACCCUGCUGUAUCGAGGACAACAAAAGUUCUUGGAGCAUUGAUAUCUUCUGCUGGGAUAAAUUACUCUUCUUUAUUAGAUGCAGAAGGAAGGAAGACAACUACGUCAGGAAGAUGAAGACAGGGAACACAAAGACCACAAUUUUUUCUUCAGAUAAGAUAACUAUAUUUGCUCUUAAAUUUGUGGUCAACAUUUUAAAUGGGAAGAAUACUUUUAAAAUGACCUCUGCCUGUUACCCAUAUUUAUUUGAAUAUAUGGCACUCUACAGAGCUGCAAGAAGACAAAAUCACUCUGAGGUGUCCAUCUCUGGGUGGACAGAUGAGGCAAGAAGUCUAGCUUUAAGAUGCCUUAGUGCAGUUCGAUGCUACUCUGUUGGUACCAGAUAGGUCUCUUUUUGAGAAAGAAAAUCUGCCCUCAUCUAAGCUGUUCCUUGCCUCAUCCCUCACCAUUUCUUCUCUGCCUCGCCGCCACCACUGUUGCUGAAGUAACAGAUCAAAGGAGCAGGCAAGCGAACAUUCAGCAGUGACAUAGGGCCACAAAGAUGAUUAAGGGUCGUCUCUCAUACGAGGAGAGGCCGAGAGAGCUGGGACUGUUCAGCCUGGAGACAAGAAGGCUCAGCGGGAUCUUAGCAAUGUAUAUAAAUACCUGAUGGGGUGUCAAGAAGAGGGGACCAGAGUCUUCUCAGUGGUGCUAAGUGACAGGCCAAGAAGCAAUGGGCACAAACUGAAAUACAGGAAAGUCCACCGAACACAAAAAGCCAACUUUUUUAUUGAGAGGAUAGUUGUACACGGGAACAGGUUGCCCUGUACUCUUCUCUUCAUUUUCAUUUCAGGGUGAGGUUAAGUAUAGAUAUAUUUCUGCUGUUGUUGGAUGAUAACUGGGUUACUCAUACUAGCUGCAGGCUGUUGGCCUACACCAUCACUGUCUUGACUAUUUGUUAUCUUUCUUUGUCUUUCCUCUUAAUUGCUUUUCAGCUGAGCAGUACUUUUUAAGUUAUCAUAAAUUAACUUUAGGGAUAAAACUGGCUAGAAAUAUUUAAAGGAAGCAGCUUUUUCAGUUCAAACAAAUCCUAGUGAGCGCAUGCAGAGUACAACCCGAUAUCUCCCAAAGCCUGGGAGGUGUUGCUUUUCCAAAUAAUGUGGCUGCACAAGAAAGCACUUGUUAAACAGAAGUUGGCCCUAAUUUGAAACAAGGUCACAGACCUGUUGUCUACCUCCCUCAGUACCUAGGCAAGUCCAAACUGUGGUUCCUUCCUUGGAAACGUGUUUUUCAUUUUCUUUCUACUUUUUCCAUGGAAAAAACCUGCAAAUAGAAAAUCCUUCAUUUGAAAUCUGUUUUUCGUGACUUUCCUCCAUACAAAUACCAGAGCUAUCCUUGGGGAACAUCCUCUAUCAAGGACUUGGAGGACAAUGUUGCUGGUGGUCUCACAAGCUAAAGUCCAGCUACAAGAAGAGGGAUAGUUCAAGAGCCGUUCUGCUGAGGGAAAGGCAUAAAGGAAAAGCCGGUUGCCAUUAGGUUGUCUUCAAGUUAAUCUUCUCAUAUGGGACGGCCGCAGGGUGCUACAGGCUCUUUUUGCCAUUUUUGCUAGACCUCUGUGAUCUCUGCUUUAGCGAAAGGCAGAAAAGCCUUGCCACACCAUUUUGUACACGCUCCCUGGGCCGAACACGUGGUUCUGGGCUCAGUGCAGAGCGGUCGGUGGUGGAAUUGUGCUGUUAGACGAAAAGAAUUUCCUAGCGCCUUCAGAGGAACUAAGAUUUGAAGUCCAAAGUUAGGUUCUUUCUUUUGUUAAUUUUUGUUCCUGAAAAAGAUAUGUAUGUAUGUGUAUUUAUAUGUAAUAGGAGUGUGCUAAUGCGUGGGAAGGGGAAGGGGAGAGAGAAAAUUAUCUUAUAUGUUAUCUUCCUCCUAUUUCACGUGACAGAAGCUGUUGCUUUCUCCUCUUUUUGCUGGAGCUGUGCAGCAGUUACAGGGUCUGCAGUAACAAUCUGAUAGUGCUACUAGCAAAUGUUAAGUUUAAUUGCUGUAAACAAUGAUUAAACAAUUGUUCCACAGAAACAGGUGAUUUUGUGCACUGCUAGUUGAAAUGCAGGUACAUUUUUUCUAGCCGUACGCUAUCAAAAGAGGCGCACACGUUUAGAAGCUGUUUUCAACUAACAUUAGAUUGCUUUUAUACCUGGACAUUUCACACUCCAUUAACUGUCAGUACCUUGUAUGGAAUUUGUCAACAUAAAAGCUACUCUUUUUCACCAUAUGCAAUGAAAAGCUAACAAGGAUGCAUUACCAAGGGAAAUAAAUAAACAGCUUCUCUUAAAAAAACUGUUAAC